rnacentral:rRNA from 1 species
GAUGAACGCUGGCGGCGUGCCUAAUACAUGCAAGUCGAGCGGACAGAUGGGAGCUUGCUCCCUGAAGUCAGCGGCGGACGGGUGAGUAACACGUGGGCAACCUGCCUGUAAGACUGGGGUAACUUCGGGAAACCGGAGCUAAUACCGGAUACGUUCUUUUCUCGCAUGAGAGAAAAUGGAAAGAUGGUUUCGGCUAUCACUUACAGAUGGGCCCGCGGCGCAUUAGUUAGUUGGUGAGGUAAUGGCUCACCAAGGCGACGAUGCGUAGCCGACCUGAGAGGGUGCUCGGCCACACUGGGAGUGAGACACGGCCCAGACUCCUACGGGAGGCAGAAGUAGGGAAUCUUCCGCAAUGGACGAAAGUCUGACGGAGCAACGCCGCGUGAACGAUGAAGGCCUUCGGGUCGUAAGGUUCUGUUGUUAGGGAAGAACAAGUACCAGAGUAACUGCUGGUACCUUGACGGUACCUAACCAGAAAGCCACGGCUAACUACGUGCCAGCCGCCGCGGUAA